CGAAUCCACUGGUAUACGGCCGAAAAAGAGAAAACCAAUGAUACCAAAGUUAUCAAGGAUCAAACGUACUGCAUUUUUUUAUAAACAAUUUCUAACGCUGAAUCGAAUGGUGGUAUUUUUAUCCUUAUUGCGCCAUUAGGCAUACAAAACACUAUGAAACGUACUGCGAGUGAUUUGUCAACAAAUACAUACUGCGAGCGAUUUCUCAACAAUUAUAAAACAAUACAAUUUAACCAAUUUCUCCUCAAAUUUCGCUUGAUUUACAAAGCCCAU